rnacentral:rRNA from 1 species
GGUUAAGCGACUAAGCGUACACGGUGGAUGCCCUGGCAGUCAGAGGCGAUGAAGGACGUGCUAAUCUGCGAUAAGCGUCGGUAAGGUGAUAUGAACCGUUAUAACCGGCGAUUUCCGAAUGGGGAAACCCAGUGUGAUUCGUCACACUAUCAUUAACUGAAUCCAUAGGUUAAUGAGGCGAACCGGGGGAACUGAAACAUCUAAGUACCCCGAGGAAAAGAAAUCAACCGAGAUUCCCCCAGUAGCGGCGAGCGAACGGGGAGCAGCCCAGAGCCUGAAUCAGUGUGUGUGUUAGUGGAAGCGUCUGGAAAGGCGCGCGAUACAGGGUGACAGCCCCGUACACAAAAAUGCACAUGCUGUGAGCUCGAUGAGUAGGGCGGGACACGUGGUAUCCUGUCUGAAUAUGGGGGGACCAUCCUCCAAGGCUAAAUACUCCUGACUGACCGAUAGUGAACCAGUACCGUGAGGGAAAGGCGAAAAGAACCCCGGCGAGGGGAGUGAAAAAGAACCUGAAACCGUGUACGUACAAGCAGUGGGAGCACGCUUAGGCGUGUGACUGCGUACCUUUUGUAUAAUGGGUCAGCGACUUAUAUUCUGUAGCAAGGUUAACCGAAUAGGGGAGCCGAAGGGAAACCGAGUCUUAACUGGGCGUUAAGUUGCAGGGUAUAGACCCGAAACCCGGUGAUCUAGCCAUGGGCAGGUUGAAGGUUGGGUAACACUAACUGGAGGACCGAACCGACUAAUGUUGAAAAAUUAGCGGAUGACUUGUGGCUGGGGGUGAAAGGCCAAUCAAACCGGGAGAUAGCUGGUUCUCCCCGAAAGCUAUUUAGGUAGCGCCUCGUGAAUUCAUCUCCGGGGGUAGAGCACUGUUUCGGCAAGGGGGUCAUCCCGACUUACCAACCCGAUGCAAACUGCGAAUACCGGAGAAUGUUAUCACGGGAGACACACGGCGGGUGCUAACGUCCGUCGUGAAGAGGGAAACAACCCAGACCGCCAGCUAAGGUCCCAAAGUCAUGGUUAAGUGGGAAACGAUGUGGGAAGGCCCAGACAGCCAGGAUGUUGGCUUAGAAGCAGCCAUCAUUUAAAGAAAGCGUAAUAGCUCACUGGUCGAGUCGGCCUGCGCGGAAGAUGUAACGGGGCUAAACCAUGCACCGAAGCUGCGGCAGCGACGCUUAUGCGUUGUUGGGUAGGGGAGCGUUCUGUAAGCCUGUGAAGGUGUGCUGUGAGGCAUGCUGGAGGUAUCAGAAGUGCGAAUGCUGACAUAAGUAACGAUAAAGCGGGUGAAAAGCCCGCUCGCCGGAAGACCAAGGGUUCCUGUCCAACGUUAAUCGGGGCAGGGUGAGUCGACCCCUAAGGCGAGGCCGAAAGGCGUAGUCGAUGGGAAACAGGUUAAUAUUCCUGUACUUGGUGUUACUGCGAAGGGGGGACGGAGAAGGCUAUGUUGGCCGGGCGACGGUUGUCCCGGUUUAAGCGUGUAGGCUGGUUUUCCAGGCAAAUCCGGAAAAUCAAGGCUGAGGCGUGAUGACGAGGCACUACGGUGCUGAAGCAACAAAUGCCCUGCUUCCAGGAAAAGCCUCUAAGCAUCAGGUAACAUCAAAUCGUACCCCAAACCGACACAGGUGGUCAGGUAGAGAAUACCAAGGCGCUUGAGAGAACUCGGGUGAAGGAACUAGGCAAAAUGGUGCCGUAACUUCGGGAGAAGGCACGCUGAUAUGUAGGUGAAGUCCCUCGCGGAUGGAGCUGAAAUCAGUCGAAGAUACCAGCUGGCUGCAACUGUUUAUUAAAAACACAGCACUGUGCAAACACGAAAGUGGACGUAUACGGUGUGACGCCUGCCCGGUGCCGGAAGGUUAAUUGAUGGGGUUAGCGCAAGCGAAGCUCUUGAUCGAAGCCCCGGUAAACGGCGGCCGUAACUAUAACGGUCCUAAGGUAGCGAAAUUCCUUGUCGGGUAAGUUCCGACCUGCACGAAUGGCGUAAUGAUGGCCAGGCUGUCUCCACCCGAGACUCAGUGAAAUUGAACUCGCUGUGAAGAUGCAGUGUACCCGCGGCAAGACGGAAAGACCCCGUGAACCUUUACUAUAGCUUGACACUGGACAUUGAGCCUUGAUGUGUAGGAUAGGUGGGAGGCUUUGAAGUGUGGACGCCAGUCUGCAUGGAGCCGACCUUGAAAUACCACCCUUUAAUGUUUGAUGUUCUAACGUGGACCCGUAAUCCGGGUUGCGGACAGUGUCUGGUGGGUAGUUUGACUGGGGCGGUCUCCUCCUAAAGAGUAACGGAGGAGCACGAAGGUUGGCUAAUCCUGGUCGGACAUCAGGAGGUUAGUGCAAUGGCAUAAGCCAGCUUGACUGCGAGCGUGACGGCGCGAGCAGGUGCGAAAGCAGGUCAUAGUGAUCCGGUGGUUCUGAAUGGAAGGGCCAUCGCUCAACGGAUAAAAGGUACUCCGGGGAUAACAGGCUGAUACCGCCCAAGAGUUCAUAUCGACGGCGGUGUUUGGCACCUCGAUGUCGGCUCAUCACAUCCUGGGGCUGAAGUAGGUCCCAAGGGUAUGGCUGUUCGCCAUUUAAAGUGGUACGCGAGCUGGGUUUAGAACGUCGUGAGACAGUUCGGUCCCUAUCUGCCGUGGGCGCUGGAGAACUGAGGGGGGCUGCUCCUAGUACGAGAGGACCGGAGUGGACGCAUCACUGGUGUUCGGGUUGUCAUGCCAAUGGCACUGCCCGGUAGCUAAAUGCGGAAGAGAUAAGUGCUGAAAGCAUCUAAGCACGAAACUUGCCCCGAGAUGAGUUCUCCCUGACUCCUUGAGAGUCCUGAAGGAACGUUGAAGACGACGACGUUGAUAGGCCGGGUGUGUAAGCGCAGCGAUGCGUUGAGCUAACCGGUACUAAUGAACCGUGAGGCUUAACCUU